CCUACGGGAGGCAGCAGUGAGGAAUAUUGGUCAAUGGGCGCGAGCCUGAACCAGCCAAGUCGCGUGAGGGAUGACGGCCCUACGGGUUGUAAACCUCUUUUGCCGGGGAGCAACGGGCGCCACGUGUGGCGCCACUGAGAGUACCCGGAGAAAAAGCAGCGGCUAACCCCGUGCCAUCAGCCGCGGUAAUCCGGAGGCUGCGAGCGUUAUCCGGAUUUAUUGGGUUUAAAGGGUGCGUAGGCGGCUCGUUAAGUCAGUGGUCAAAGGGAGGGGCUAAACCCCGUCCCGCCGUUGAAACUGGCGCUCUUGAGUGGGAGAGAGGUAUGCGGAAUGCGUGGUGUAGCGGUGAAAUGCAUAGAUAUCACGCAGAACCCCGAUUGCGAAGGCAGCAUGCCGGCUUCCGACUGACGCUGAGGCACGAAAGCGUGGGGAUCGAACAGGAUUAGAUACCCGAGUAGUC
rnacentral:rRNA from 1 species